CGCGUCUCGGGAUCUCAAGGCGGAAAGUAACCUUCCUGGAGAUGGCAGUGAGCAUUUUCUUACACGUGCCCUCAAGCCAGAAAAGGUGUUCGACCGAAUGCCGGAUGCGUCGGUGGAACGUCCGGUAGCCAAUAUAAAGAGCCCUUGCCUCGUGUCUAGCCACCAUUUGCUCUGCGUAAAGCUGCAACGAUGAAGAACUCUGCCAUCGUGUUCACCGUAUUGUUGCUGUCAGCUGUGCUGCUCGUGGAAGCUCAGCUCUUCCCGGGUGGUGGAGGAUUUGGGCGACCCGGCGGAGGCCGUCGAUGUGGCAGGCAAAUCUGCCGCUUUGGACAACGUUGUGUUUACGAACAAGUAGUGUGCAUCAGAGCUCCCUGCCCACCGAUUCCUCAAUGCGUGUGACUUGACAUCGGCAAAAAAGAAGCACCCAUUUUGCGAAUAUCAUACGUACAAGUUUCUUUAUCCGUGCAAUAAAAACAACUGUGUAA